GACGUAGGGCGCGAGCGUUGUCCGGAUUUAUUGGGCGUAAAGAGCUCGUAGGCGGCUUGUCGCGUCUGCCGUGAAAGUCCGGGGCUCAACUCCGGAUCUGCGGUGGAUGACGGGCAGACUAGAGUGAUGUAGGGGAGACUGGAAUUCCUGGUGUAGCGGUGAAAUGCGCAGAUAUCAGGAGGAACACCGAUGGCGAAGGCAGGUCUCUGGGCAUUAACUGACGCUGAGGAGCGAAAGCAUGGGGAGCGAACAGG
rnacentral:rRNA from 1 species